CGGAUUAAGUCAAUAAUGUGGUGGGCUCAAAUGACACAACUCAAGCAAGUGCAGCUGUGGCUUUGCCAGCAUGUUAUUUACUCAGCAUCUUUGGACUUACCUCAUGCAAUGACUGCCAAGGCUGCUCCAGUGAAGGAAGACAUCUCAUAAAACUUAAUCUCAAACCAGUUUACCAAUUAUGUAAACAGUUUUUGAGGGUUGUCUAUGUGCCAGGCAAUUAUGCUGGGUACUUAUAAGAAUUAAGCAUGAUACUAAAAGAGUGCCUCUCGGCCAGGCUAGGUGGUCCAGACCUGUAAUCCCAGCACUUUGGGAGGCCGAAGCAGACAGAUCAGGAGUUCAAGACCAGCCUGGCCAACAUGAUGAAACCCCAUCUCUACUAAAAAUACAAAAAUUAGCUGGGCGUGGUUGCAGACGCCUGUAGCCCCAGCUACUCGGGAGGCUGAGGCAGGAGAAACGUUUGAACCCAGGCGGCGGAGUUUGCAGUGAGCCGAUAUUGCGCCAUUGCACUCCAGCCUGGGCGACAGGGUGAAACCCCAUCUCAAAAACAAAAAAGAGUGCCUCUCAACUUUUAUCUGUGUGUCAGAACUACCUGUGAAACUUUUUGAGGAUACUGAAGAGUGGGCCUUACCAUAUACCCACUGAAUUGGAACCUUCAGGAGAAGCAUCCAGGCAACUCAAUUUAUAAAAUCUCUUCAGGUGAUCUUAAUGCAGAACCAAGAUGAGAAACCACUUUGUUAAAUCCUACAAAGAGCCUUCCCUUCUGAGAAUUUUCAGUCUAUGGGAGAUAUACUGAUGUAAAUCCAUUUGCAGUAAGACAUGUAGUCAGAACACAUUUAAAAGAAAACACAUUAGUGAUAGAUAACAUCAAAUAUGAAAUAGAAACAAAUGUAUAGACAGAAGGAUAAAUACAAACUUCACAGAGGUUAGGGAAAGCAAGGAGACAUUUCUGGGCAGAUUCUAUUGUAUCUGGUUGGUAGGAGAAGUAACAGAUUCUGCUAUUCAUUUUUUUGUAAUACUAAAUUAAAGGCUCAGCAAAAGAUUCCAGUUUAAAAGGCAAUUCUUUACGUUUUCAAAAUUCUGAUGUAGUUGGAACUCUAUACAAAUUUGCAAAGCAAUUAUGUAGAAUAUAUAUACUUUCUAUUAAAAAUAUACAACUUUUAAAAUUUAGGUUAGAGCUACAAAUGACUAAGUCCUACAUAACACUGCAUAUGUUGUCCAGGAAAAAUAAACGACUAAACUAAUAUGCUGUGAACACACAUAUGAACAUGCAUCACAUCCAUGUUUAAAUGAAUUCCAGACAGUCAUAUAUCAAGUGGAAAGAAAUCAAAGGUUUGCAGUCCGGCUAAUGAGAGGUUCUCCGAAGGGCAUUCUGUGGAAUGCAUUUCUCUUGGCAAGUUGCUGUGGUGGACUCAAUUCAAUUCUAAGCAGAUUUCUUUAAUCCUUACUUCUAAGUGGGUCAGCACCAUCUGAUUUUAAGUAUUAUUGCAAGAGACAUAUGCACAAUGAUUACUGCAACCACCCUUCCCUGGAAAGUUGCUUUUCCUUUGAUAAUGCUUGGAAGACCCAAUUCACACAAGUAGAAAAGUCUCAGCCCGAUGACAGGAGCCUAAGAUUCCGAUGGUAUGUUCAGGACUGACAUCACCACAUCAGGACUGACACGUCAAGGAUUCAGCUGCAUGGUCCAGGCUGGGGAGGAUGUCAGGGAUUGUUGUGGUCAGGACCGAUGCAGCUAUGACUGGGGAUUUAUUUGACAUAUUUGGACUAGGUGUGAUGAGACAGCAGCUGGCAUUGUCAAUAGGUUGAGGGAGGGAGGAAGAAUGAACUAAUUAUUUGUUUAGGAUUAUGAGUCAGGUUUCUAUGAAAGAAGGACGUUACGAAGAUGGAAGGGAAGACUAAAAUUAACCCCAAAGGAUUGAAGGUGUCAAUGUGAACUCAGUUUUCAAUACGUAUGUAUGUAAAUACAUAUAGAAGUAGGUGACUAUUCUAACAUGUGUGUAGACACAUGUUUUUCUUUGAGCUGUUAACCAACAGGGCAGUGAGCCUGUCUCAGGUCUUCAUUUCCAUAUACCAUUCCCCAUUUAAAGAAACCAGGGCGCCUUGGAAAAAUGGCUAAUUUUAGACCUGGAGUAGGGAGUAGGAAAAAGUUUAAGAUGAGCUUAUAAAAAAAAAUAAGAGCUGAAAAAGUAAUGAGGCAGAAGCCAGCUGUGUUCCUUUGAGACGAGAGACUCCCGAAAACCAAAUCUGGGAAAAUUUCAGCAUGAAAAUGAAUGACAGUAAUACACUGUAACCUACUGAAUAAACUGGGCAUUCAUGAGUCUAUGCUGAUUUAAGCAAUGGAGAAAGAAGAGCUCUUCCUUAUAGUAGUAAGAUGCCAACCAAAGCAGAAGUCAUAGACUCACCAGUUGACAACCAAAAUAGUAAUUGAUUCAGUCAGGUAUUGUCAAUAGACUCAAACUAGCUGGUGAAAAUUUGAUGAGAAACAGGACACUUACAAUCUUUAAGAAUCUCCUCACAAAGUACUUCCUAAUUUUAAUUUUACAAUGGAGAAACAUAGUAGAUACCAUCUGAACCAAGUGACCAAAAUUAAUACCACCAGAAACAGGACAAAUUGACAUUGUGUGCAUCUGGGCAUGACACAUUGAGAAUACAGCAUUGUUUCUGUGGUAUUGGACAAAAAUGUCUAUCCUAAAUCUUAUGGGAAACAUAGAUACACCCAAACUAAGGAACAUUUUACAAACUGGCCAAUACUCCUCAAAAGUCAAAGACAAGACUGAAAAGCUGUUCUGGACUGAGUGAAACAAGAGAUAGACAAAUGCACCAUGUGGUCAUGGAUUGGGAUGACAGAACACAGGAACAUUACUGAGGCAAUCAGAAUCAGCAAAUUGAAUGUGGUCUAUGGAUUAGCUCUCAUUAUGAUGCCAAUGUCAGCCUCCUAAAUUUGAUGGUUGUACUGUGGUUAUGCACGAAUGCCCUUAUCUUAAGGAAACACACACUAACAUAGAGGUAAUGGUGCAAGAAAUAUUUUGGCUGGGAUAACAUUGAAUCUGUAAAUAAAUGUGAAGUAAAUGAA